GUGGCUUAACCGACUGAAGUUUGCAGCCUGCAGUUGACCCCGUCGCUAGAGCGCUUUUGGCAGUAAAGCUACUGUUGCGUCUGCUGACCAGGCCGUGAAGCGCGCAAAGAUGACGUUGUAGAAACCAUUUUGGAUGUUCUUUUUGUUUUGUUGGGUACCUCGGACCGUGUCCUUUAAUCUUCGUUUUUGGUUCCAUUACUAGGAAGUUCUUUUCAAAAGGUUAUAAUACCGCAGUUCCGAAGAAAAACAGCUAAGUAAUUGAGAAAAUGCCGCCUCUUGAAACGCCUGUAGCGAUGGAAACAGAAGAGAUAAUAAGGACUAAGUAUCAUAGAACACAGGAGUUUAAAGACCUAAUCUCAGUGAUAAAGAAGCUAUUGUCAGAGCGUUUGAAAAGUAUCAGGGAAUUGAGAUAACGGAAAUGUGCAAGCCUGAUGGGGCAGGAGAUCGAUUUACUUAAGUUAAGCCAAACGAGAAAUUUUUACAGCAUGCAGAAAAAAAGAAAAGAAAUCAAGUAAAGCGAAGAGACACCUAGAGGGCCUGUCCAGGAGGUACAAUCUUGGCAUAAUAGGAAUACCUGAAACAGGACAAAUCAAAUGAAGCUGAAACUAUAAUUAAGGAACUAAUCGUAGAAAAAUCUACAGAGUUGAAGAAGGAACCAGAUCUGCAAAUGGAAAAAUUAACAGGGUAUCAUUAAAAUUUAAUGAAAGCAACACCCUGACAUAUCCUGGUGAUAUUUUUAAUUUGAAGGGAUAAAGAAAAACUUCUACAAGUAUCCAGAGAAAGCAAGUUUCUUUACAUGGGUGAAAGUCAGGCUGACUUCACAUUUUUCACUUGCAAGUCUUAAGUGCCAGAAAACAAUGGAACAAUGUCUUCAGAGUUUUAAGGAAAAAUAAUUUUGAAACAAGUAUUAUAUACUCUGCCAAGUUAUCAUUUCUGUACCAAGGCAGCUGGAAGACAUGAAGGGGUAAAGAAAAUGUAUCUUUUGAAGUUCCCCUUGUGGCUCAUCAAGUAAGGCAAGAACCCAUCAAGUAAGGCGUAUCCCCAAGAAUGCUGUUUGAUCCCUGGCCCCACUCAGUGGAUUAAGUAGCCAGUGUUGCCCUGAGCUGGGGUGCAGGCUGCAGCUCCUAUCCAUAUUCCCUGGGUGCAGGCCUAAAAAAUAAGAAAUUGCAUCUUUCAAGUACAAUCCUUGACAAAGUUGCUAAAUGAUAUUUAGCUAACAACAUGAAUUAAAAUGCCUCGAGGAAGCAAUUGUAUGAGAAAGUUACCGGUAAAUAUUAAACUAGUUAAACAGCAUUAAAGUCAAAUUGUUACAUAGAGUUACAAAACGAAAUGCAAAAAUAAAUUUGUAAAUCCUGUCUAAAAUUUCAGUUUAGGUCCUUUUAAAUUGUGAAAAGGCAUGCCAAACAUUUAAUGAAUAGUUUUAUUUUUAGCAUUAUAAUAUAGAUAAAGAUAUCCAUGUUCCUAAGCUAAACAAGUAGAUAACAGGACUUUGUCACUGUGGACAGAACCUGUAGAAUAACGGUAUAUCAAAUGUUAAUCUGACAAAAUAGGAAAACCUGUCAAUCAAAUUUGCUAUUCCCUAUUUUUAAAUACCGAGGGUGGGGGGAAUAGCAAAUUUGUCUGUAAUGUAAUAUUGGUAGUGUAAAAAAAAUUCCCAUAUCACUGGUUGGGGGGCGGUAGUAGUUUAAAACCUUGUUUUAUAUACAUCUUGCCUACAGAAAAUCAGUACCUAUUGCUUCAUGUAGUAGCUCAUUCUAGUAAAUUUGAAAAUGAGAUAACAAAUAAAAAUAGAAAACAUUCCAGUUUUUUGGAUUGGAGAGGAGGUGGUGAAAAACAGCAUUAAAGCAUUGAAAUUAGAUUGACACAGGAAUAUAGCUAAGUUAUUUCACUCAUAAACUGGUUAAAUAUUCCUACCAAAAAGAUUAAAAUUGGAUCAAAAAUCAAUCUCUAACCCUGGAUACAUUAGUAUAAAACAAAGGAUAAAAGAGUUUAAAGACAAUGGAAACUAUAAGUCAUAGAAAUGGAUGUAGGGAGCAAUAUUUUUAUUAGAACUCAAGCUUAUAAAAUAUAAGUUCUUGUGAUAUUUAAGAAGCUUUAUGUGGUAAAUAAAUGGCAUUCAUAUGUAAAACAAAUGUUCAGUACUUUGAUGUGAGUGUUUUAAUGAUGUACACGUUAUUGGACUCUGAGUUCAUACUUAUUAAUCAAGUAAAUGAUGGAGUUCUCAUCACGGCUCAGCAGAAAUGAAUCUGACUAGCAUCCAUGAGGACGCAGAUUCGAUCCCUGGCCUUGCUCAGCAUUGCCGUGAGCUGUGUGUGGUGUGAGCUGUGGUGUAGGUCGCAGACAUGGCUCAGAUCUGGUUUUGCUGUGGCUGUGGCAUAGGCCAGCGGCUAUCCCUCCGUUUCCACCCCUCGCCUGGGAAUCUCUAUAUGCAGCUCUGUGGCCCUAAAAAGACAAAAGACAAAAAAUGAAAAGUUGAGAUGGUUAAGGAGUUGUUAAAUAGUUGAGGUGUGUGUGUAUUUGCAUUCUUUUCAUAUUGUACAGAAACAUUUCUAAAUUAUUUAAUACUAGGGUAUGGGGAAAACUUAAAUUUCUAGAAAGCACAAAUGAUCACAUUGCAAAAAAGCCUACAAACUAAGUCUAAAUGCUGAAGUCACACACUUUUUCAAAUGCUCUUAGGUAACUUUUGGGUCAGAAAGGAAAUUAUUGGAGUUCCCAUCAUGGCUCAGUGGUUAACAAACCUGACUGGUAACCAUGAGGUUGUGGGUUCAAUCCCUGACCUCACUCAGUGGGUGAGUGGCCUCAUUCAGUGGGACCAGGCAUUGCCAUGAGCUGUGGUUCGGUUGCAGAUUUAGCUCAGAUCCCACAUUGCUGUGGCUGUGGUGUAGGCUGGCGGCUACAGCUCUGAUUAGACUCCUCACCUGGGAACCUCCAUAUGCCACAGGCGCAGCCCUAAAAAAGAUACACACACAAAAAGGAAAUUAUAACAAAUGCUGAUAAUUUAAGAACUGCAACAAUUAGGACUUUCUGAAAUAUAUGGAUUAUGAAAUGGGUGUACAAAAGGUAAGAAACUAAGCAUGGGAACACUAGAUGAAAAAUGGAAUAUACACCUAGGAAAGACCUAGUAACUGGACCUUUUAAAUUUUGCUACCUCCGACUCUAAGUAGUGGAUUUACUUCAAUAUAAUAUUCUCAGUGCCAUAGUUAACUUCUUAGUGACAGAUUUUUCCCAACUGAGUUUUAUCAUGAUAGAUUCUAAGGAGCUAACAGUUGACUCUCAGAAGCCAAAUUCUCUUCUAUCACCAGCACCACACAUGUCACUGUUUUUAUUCUCCCUCUCUCAGAUCUCCAUAGAAUACCUCUUGUUCUAUGUCAUUUUAUUGAAAAGUAUAGUCUUCAGAAAAGUAGCAUCAGCAUUGCCUGGAUGCUUGUUAGAAAUACGGUAUCUCAGAUUAAUAGCAGCAUGGGAUUAGAUUAUAAAAUGUUAUGCAUCUACAAGACUGUCUCACACAAUGUAUUAUAAAUAUUUAAUAAAUGUUAAAAUAGUAUUAGAAUCUAGAAACAGGUUUGCUUAAGCCAUAUUAUUGUAUGAGAGAUUUUGUGAUUGAAUUUAAGCUAUUGCAGCAUCCCUAUUUGAAUUAAAGAUUUGGUCACAUUUUCCAAAUAUUUCAGGUGAGAAUUGGUACUCCUGUUUUUCUUCAGUCUUGGAAAUUUGUAAAGAUGAGACACAAAGGAAACUUCAGAUUGAACAAUUCAAAUUUUAAAUUUUGAAGGAGUAGAAUUUAAAAUGGUAAAGAAAGAAUGAGCCUUUCUCUAGUGAAUAAAAUAACCAUGGAAUAGAUUUAAAUUAGAUGUUUCAAAGUUUCUGUAUAAAAUCAGACAUCCAUCUACAGCAGCUAUAAAGGGCCUGAAUUAUAUAUAGUGGGUAACAGGUGGAUAAAUAGCAUUGGCAGUAAUUGGAACAGUAGCUCUAGCAAGUUACACACAGGACAUUUUAAUUCUUAAAUGUUCUGUUCCCCCAAAGGUGAUAGAUAACACCCUUGUAUUAGCAAAGGUGGGCUAGACCAGUACUGCUCAAAUUUGAAUAUGCGAAUAAGUUGGGAGGAUCAUAUUAAGAUGGAGAUGUUGAUUUACCAAAUUUAGAGUAAAGCUGAGAUUCUGUAUUCCUUGCACGCCUGGGUUGUUGAUGCUGCCAGUCUGGGUGCUUACCACACUUUCAGGUAGAAUAAUAACAAAACCUAUGCUGUAUAUACUAUCCAUGAAAAUGAGGCUCAAAAUCAGUAAUUGGCUUAAGACCACACAGUAAGUAUUAGAAACAAAUCUGAUUUCAAGACUAAUUUCUAUCAUCUACAUAAUCCUGCCUUUCAUCCAUACCACAGUACCUACUUAGAGGAUCAUGGAGAGGAUAAACUUUACAUAAUAAUGAAGAAAGCCCAUUACCUCAGAGAAGGUACAUAUGCCGAAAACAGUAUCUCACAGAGGGGAAAAAGGAGUUUUGUUUAUAACCUAUUGAGCAUGAUUUGUUACAGGGACAUUUGUGGAUAAGUCAGACAGGUAUUUAGAAAUGCAGGUCCAGAGCCAGAAGAGAUGUCAAAUUUUGGUUUUAGUUUUCUGAUUUGAAGGUGGUAUUUGAGGACAGAGAAGAAAAAAGGGAAGGAAGUUAAAACUUAAGGAACACACCUGUGUUUACUGGGUAGGUAUUAAAGAAAAAUGGAAGAUUUAGAUUUAAAGCUACAACUAAACACAGCAAACUAUGCACUACAGUCAACCCUAUAACUUUGAGUUGAAUAAUAAGGAGUAGAAGGGGCUUUUAUCUUUGUACCAGGUUUUUUUAAAACUUAAAAUUGGCAAACUAUAAAAAAAAAUCUAUAAUGGCACACAUUAUUCCAUUAUACCUUCUAAUUUUGUACUUCACUACUACAUAGCUGUACCUAGUUGAUUUUUGUUACUGGUGGCAGUUAUGUUCUUAAAAGUUUCUCAAAGACUGAAUUAGUGAAUACUAUAUGAUUGUCCCCAGGAUUAGAUUCCUGAAAGCCUUUGGUCACAUUAUUGUCACCAACUGACCUUGUUUUAGUAUACCUUUUUUAAUAUCAGUUUUAGAUUCACUAACAUUGAACUCAUGGCCACAGAACUAGGAUGUCACUUUGUCCCACUUAUCUGGGAUUGUACAUAUCAGACUGACUCAAAUUUUCUUUGCUGCUCUGUACAUACACAUGAAAGGGCCAUUUAUGUUUGAUUUGGGGUUACUAACUUUAGUAAGUGAACUCUCAAAUACAAAAUCUAUGAAAAAUAAGUACAGACGAACUAAUUUAACAUGUAUUUUUUUUUAGGGCCACACCGACGGCCUGGAGCCCUAUGGAGGUUCCAGGUUAGGGGUACAAUCUGAGCUGUAGCUGCUGGCCAUGCUGUAGCUGCUGGCUGUGACUGUGGUGUAGGCUGGUGGCUACAGUCCAAUUCCACCCCUAGCCUGGGAACUUCCAUUUGCAGUAUCUGUGGUCCUAAAAAAUAAUUAAUUAAUUAAAAUAUUCCUGUAGAAAUUUUGAAAAUACAGAUGAUGGUAAGUGUUACCCACUAUCAAAACCAUGCAGAGAUGUCCUGAGAACAGGGUAUUUCUUUCCAGAAAUCACUUUUAAAUUACUUUCAAAUUUAGAAUAAUACUAUAUAUAAAAUUCUUUUUGUUCACCUGUAAUUAUAAUAUAGACAUUUUUCCAAGUCAGUUAUUCCUCAAAAACAUAUUUUAACUGCUGCAUAUUUCCCCAUCGCAUAGGACAGCUGUCAAAAUCACUUUUCAGCCUAUAACUUGCUUAAUUUCUCAACAAUAUUAGACACUAUUGACUAUUCCUUUUGUCUGCAUUUCUACUCAAAUGUGGAUGAAGCCUGGUCUUGUCCCUCCAUAUAAAAAGGAGUGUCCUCUUCACACUCAGCUUUCCUAUUGCCCUGUUUAACCUGCUUAAUGUCUCUCCAAAACAGUUAUUGCCAUCUGAUAUACAUACUCUUCUCAAAUUGAGUGUCGUCUAUCUCCUCCAUAGCAAAGAUAAAGGAACAACCUAAAUGCACAUCAGUGGAUGAAUGGAUAAAGAUGUGUAAUGGAAUAUUACUCAGCCAUAAGAAAGAAUGAAAGUUUGCCAUUUGCAACAUGAAUGGACUAAAGGGUAUUAUGCUUUAAUAAAAUAAGUGAAAUAAGUUAGAGAAAGAUAAAUACUGUAUUUUUAUCUUUUUAUAUGUGGAAUCUAAAAAAUAAAACAAAUGAAUAUAACAAAAUAGAAACACAUCCAUAGAGAACAAACUAGUGGUUACCAGUGGAGAGAGGGAAGUGAGGAGGGGCAACAUAGGAGUAUGGGAUUAAGAGGUACAAGCUACUAUGUGUAAAAUAGAUAAGCAACAAAAAUAUGUAAGAUAGUACAGGGAAUCAUAGUCAUUAUCUUAUAACUUUUAAUAGAUGAUAACCUUACUGAAUCACUAUGCCGUAUAACUGAAACUAAUAUAAAAUUAUAAUUCAACUAUAGUUCAAUUAAAAAAAAAAGCUGUUACCAACUAUCUAAGUAAACUUAUUCAGUUUUCUCUUUUCAUGUAAAUUAAAUAACUAAAUUUUGAACCAUAUAACAAAGUGUGGAUGAUUUAUUCAUUUCAUCAGUCUAUCCAACAAUAUGUUUAAGGCCCUGUUAUGUAAUGUGAAAGGAACUAAAUAGUCAUUCUUCCCCUAAAUAUCCCAAGUGUUAGUGGUCAAAGGUUCUUUCAGUUGAAACUGAGAAAUAUCCAUUAGGAUGCAAGAAACAGACACCUCGAGGGCUCCAUCUGGUAUAAUAUCAUAUUUGUUUGACCACAUAUUUACUUGUUUAAACAAGCAAUAAAACUGCUUCUAUAAUUUUUUCUGUUUUAUUUUUACUGAAGUCCAGUUGACAGCCACAUAUUUUUAUUGAAGUAUAAUUGACUUACAAUAUUAGUUUGAGGUAUAAAACAAUGAUUUUGUAUUUUCAUACAUUACAAAAUGGUUAUAUUAACAAGUUACCAUCUGUAACCAUACAAAGUUAUUACAGUAUUGUUGACCACAUUCUCUAUGCUGUACAUUACAUCCCUGUGACAUUUUAUAACUGUAAGUUUGGACUUCUUAAUCAUCUUCUUCAUGUUUCACCCAUUCUCCCAUCCACUUCCACUCUGGCAACCACCAGUCUGUUCUCUGUAACUAUAAGUCUGUUUCUGUUUUAUACUUGUUCAUUUGUUUUUUUUAGAUUCCACAUACAAGAGAAAUCAUGUGGUAUUUGUCUGAUUUACUUCACCUGGCACAAUACCCUCUAGGUCCAUCAAAGUUGUUACAAAUGCAAAGUUUCAUUUUUUGAUAUCGCAUAUAUAUAGACAUAUAGAGAUAUAUUAGAUUUAAAUAUAUAUUAGAAUAUUCAAACAUAUAUAUUAUAGGAUUUUAUUUAUUUAUUUAUUUAUUUAUUUAUUUUAGGGCCGCACACAUGGUAUAUGGAAGUUCCCAUGCUAGGGGUCAAAUCAAGCUGUAGUUGCUGGCCUACACCACAGCCACAGCAACGUGAGAUCUGAGCCAUGUCUGCAACCUUCACCACAGCUCACAGCAAUGCCAGCCCCAUGACUCACUGAGCAAUGCGAGGGAUGAAACCAGCAUCCUCAUGGUUACUAAUCAGAUGUUUCUGCUGAGCCACAACAGGAACUCCUGAUCACAUGAUUUUAAUCCUUCAUUUUGUUAAUAUAGUGUAUCAAUUUGAUUUCUUUGUGAAUAUUGAAUCAUCCUAUCUCUGGCAUAAAUCCCACUUGAUCAUGAUGUAUAAUCCUUUUAGUAUUGUUGAAUUCAGUUUGCUAAUAUCUUUUGAGGAUUUUUGCAGCUAUGUUUAUCAGUGAUAUUGGCCUGUAAUUUUCCUUUUUUGUGAUGUUUUGAUAGAUUGGGUAUGAGUGCAAUGACAGCCACGUAUUUUUUGUGUCAGUGGUUUUAUAUAAUGAUUUUUAUUUUUAUCCAUUGCAAUAAAUACAUAUCUAUCAAUAAUCACCUUAAAUAUCAAUGCACUGAAUACACCAAUCAAAAGACACAGAGUGGCAGAUUGGAUAAAAAAGCAAAAAUCUUCAAUCUGCUGUCUACAAGAAACUCACCUUAGGGCAAAGGACACAGAUAGAUUGAGAGGAUGGGAAAAGAUAUUUCAUGCCAAUGGAAAAGACAAGAAAGCAGGAGUUGCAAUACUCCUAUCAGACAAAAUAGACUUUAAAAUUAAGGCCAUAAAGAAAGACAACGAAGGACACUAUUUAAUGGUAAAAGGAGCGAUUCAAGAAGAGGAUAUUACAAUUGUCAAUAUAUAUGCCCCUAAUAUAGGAGCACCCAGAUACCUACAACAGAUACUAACAGACAUAAAAGGAGAAAGUGAUGGGAAUACAAUAACAGUAGGACACUUUAACACCCCACUCACAUCCAUGGACAGAUCCUCUAGACAGAAAAUCAAUAAGGCAACAGAGAUCCUAAAGGACACAAUAGAAAGUGAGACUUAAUUGACAUUUUCAGGACAUUACAUCCAAAAAAAUCAUAAUAUACAUUCUUCUCAAGUGCACAUGGAACAUUCUCAAGACUUGAUCACAUACUGGGGCACAAAGCUAUCCAGACACUUUUUUUUUUUUAAUUAGGCCCUGAACAUUUAAAAAUCUGAUAGCUUAAAACUAAAAAAAGAAGACUUCUAGCUUCUCUUGAAAAACUGAGCUCUGACAAUCAAUGAAAUUAUAGAACAGCAGGAGUGUGUUACCCUUCAUUUGGAGUUAUGUUUUCUCCAGCUCCCCACAUUUUUCCAUUUCAGGUUGUCUCCUCCUCAAUGAGGUCAGGUGUCAAGGCUGUUUAUAUGGCACUUGCACAGCUGGUUUUCUUAUACUGGAGUUGAACAUGACCUGUUUUUAACAUCCAUGUCUCUACCAUGAAAAAUUAAAAGCUAAUCCAAGGAGAUACAUGUUUUAAGAAAAAUGGAGAAAGCACAAUUCUUUAGGAAGUGAAGAGUACUCUUUAUAUCCAAAUAUGUUAAAAAAAAUUAUGUCUUAAAAAAAAAUACAGUUUAAGAAACAAUUACCCAAAAACUUCCAAUUGAUAUUCUCUAAUAUAUUUUCAGCAUUAAGAAGGAAUUAGGUUAGUCUUGUGUCCCACCGAUCUCUUACGCUACACAUAUUUCUAAAAAUACUGUAAGCACUAAGUAAAUAUUUGGAAUAUUAUAAACAUGGAGAAUAUUACAGAUAUAAGGGAGAGCAGGAACUGCUUUAAUAUUAAGUAUCAAAUAUAAGUUUGAAAUGUAAUAAAUCCGAUAAUUGUUUUUCUUCCCCUACAAUGUCUACUUUUCUAAAUUUGGAAGUAGAACUACACACUGCUUCUCCCCCCAUUUCUCCAUCAAAGCCAAAUCAAAUCAAGUAUAGAAUUUUUAAAUGUGUAUUAAAAACAACUCCUUCUCCCUUCUUCCCGCUGAUAAUAAAAUUUAUUUUAUUAUGCUAUGGACUAGGUACAGUGAUAAAUGCUGGGUAAACACUGAAGAGCUAAAAAGGUAUAAGUCUUUUUAUAAGGACUUAUUAAUGAGCAAGUUAAUAAAUAUAUUAUUUGAUAUACAAGUAAACAGAUAAGUAGGUAAGUACAUAUUGUAUUAAGUACUACAAAGGAAACCAAGUAUGCUAUAAUGGAGAAUAACAUGGGAUGGGAAUGGGAAUCUAUUCAGCUUUGUCAGGGAGGAUCUAGAUCUGAGAAGGUAACACAUAGGCAAAGAUCUGAAUGAAACAUAAGGAGUCAAUCUUACAGAAUAAGUGGGGCCGGCAUUUUCAAAAAAGCCAGCAUAUUUCACACUAUUUACUUAUUGAUCUUAUCUUGAACAAUGGGUUCUUUGUUUCAUGGCACCUUUGACACCAAGAGAUGCAGAGUGAUGCCUGUUCAGAAGCAGAUGUAGGUAGGUUUCUGUUCCUGAUCUCCUGUGGAAAGAAAAAUCAAUGGCAAGUAAAACCAAGCCAUUAGCUCAGAUAGGGUCUGCUACAGAUGAUAUUUUGUUGCCUGUAAGAGUAAAUGGGUACUCAUCUUAGUCAAAACCACAGAGGUGGAGUUUAUGUUCAUUGUCCUCCCAUCUCCCUUUGUAUGACCCUCUCCCAGUUUCUGACACUCAUACCCACUACAGCACGAGAGCAAGCAAAAAAAAAAAAAAAAAAAAAAAAGCCAUAUGCUGUUCUCUAAAGAGAGAACCCAGUUGUUCUAUCCCUUUCCUAGACAUCACAACUGUAUACUCCCACAUCCUCAUAUAUAAAAGAAAGGAAGGAAUGGGGAGAAAAGGAUCCUUCUAAAAAAAUCUCAGGUGUUGAAAAAUGUCGUUUAUUAAACUUAUUUGAGACAAAAUGAAUGACCAUUGCUAAUAAAUGUGUCAUAGGCUUUUCUAGAAUUUUUUAAUGUGAAUGUAUCUCAAUUUGAUAGAUUUAAAGGGUAAAGAAAAUGAUAUAUAGGAGAUGGUCUUCUGACACCCCUUUCUUCACAUUUGCCAUCAUAGAGAUACAUACUCAGAAGUGGUAUCAAUGGAUCAUCUGGUAGUUCUACUUUUAAUUUUUUGAGGAACCUCCAUUCUGUUUUCCAUAGUGGCUGCACCAACUUACAUUCCCAACAGUGCACAAGAGUUCCCCUUCCUCUAUAACAUUAACAACGCUUAUCUUUUAUCUUUUUUUUUAAAUAAAAGCCAUCCUAAUAAA